rnacentral:misc_RNA from 1 species
GAUGAAGAACGCAGCGAAAUGCGAUAAGUAAUGUGAAUUGCAGAAUUCAGUGAAUCAUCGAAUCUUUGAACGCACAUUGCGCCCCCUGGUAUUCCGGGGGGCAUGCCUGUUCGAGCGUCAUUUCACCACUCAAGCCUCGCUUGGUAUUGGGGUUCGCGGUUCCGCGGCCCCUAAAAUCAGUGGCGGUGCCUGUCGGCUCUACGCGUAGUAAUACUCCUCGCGAUUGAGUCCGGUAGGUCUACUUGCCAGCAACCCCCAAUUUUUACAGGUUGACCUCGGAUCAGGUAGGGAUACCCGCUGAACUUAAGCAUAUCAAUAAGCGGAGGA